rnacentral:lncRNA from 1 species
UCCUAUUUCAUUUAUUCAUCUAUCUAUCUAUCUAUCUAUCUAUCUAUCUAUCUAUCUAUCUAUCUAUCUAUCUAUCUAUCUACCUAUCUAUCUAGGUAUCUAUAGGCAGUGUCUCCUGUAGCUCAGGCUGGCCUUGAACUCAAUAUUAAGUCAAGGACGAUUUUGAACUUCUGAUUUUGAACUUGCCUCUCUCUGCUGCUGGGGUUAUUGGUGUAUGUCGUUGGGCAUGGUUUACACCAGGCCAGGGUUAGAUCCCAGUGCCUGUGCUUGCUAGGUGAGCACGCUAUCUGUGGGUCAUCUUCAGCAAGGGUUGUUUUUAGUUUCAGACAAAUUUCCACAUCAGAGAAUUAGUUGAGAACAGAGGGUUGGGUGGUUUUGACUCCCAGCUUGCAACUUGCCAGCUAUAUGACACUGGGCAAGUGACAGAGGGGCUCUUUCCAGCCCAGCUUCCAAAUUCCUGCAGUAGUAAAGAGUCCCAGUUAUUGGGUCACAUGCCUCCUACCUGUUACAUCUGUAUAAUCACACCUGCUCAGCAGUUACCUUCUAUUACAGAUACUAGGCUUUCUGGUCUCACCUCCAGCUGAUGGCUUAGAGGGUCCAUGUCCUGGUGGGUCAUUCAGGUCUGCCCAGGCCUGGCAGAGCUCUCUCCAUUACUGGAGGUAUUCAAAUAGAAGCGGGGGGUUUUUGGUAGGGUUUUCUAGAAGUUUCUUGCUAGGCUAAGAGUUGUGGAAGAAGUUAGUCUGGGCGAAAGGUUGGAGUAGUGGGACCUGGGAAGGCGACUGAAGAAAAGGCCUGGGUUCAGCCCUGCUGCCCUGACUCAGCUUUAGUGAGAGCCCCUCCACGCUCUCUGUUCCUGUCUGCUUUACAGUUUGAGGCUCGAGAGGCUAUUUUGAGGAUGUAUGUAAUGGCUAAUCAUCAUUGUCAACUUGACCGGAUUUACAGUCACCUAGGAGAUGGGGAGGCCGCCUCUGGGUGUGUCUUCGAGAGCCGUUCCAGAGGAUUAACUGAGCAGGGAAGACUUGCUCAGAGUGUGGGUGGCACCACCCUCCAGCAUGGGGAGCAGAUGGGAUAAAGGUGGUAGUGGUGGAGAAAGCAAGCUGAACGCUGGGGUGUGGGCAUUUGCCCCGUCUCUGCUUCCUGGCCCCUCCACCACCCACCAGGAUAAACAGGAGCCUCUGAAACCCAGCACAGGACGCACCCUUCUUGAUCCAGGGUGUUGGUAGCAGGUCUUUUUAGUCACAGCAGCAAGAAUAGUGAUUGCCACCACUAGGAUACAUUCAAAACCAUUUUUGCUGAAGGGAAAACUGAGGCUGAGAGAGAGAGAGAGAAAGAGAGAGAGAGAGAGAGAGAGAGAGAGAGAGAGAGAGAGGACAUUUCUUACUGAUGUCAUGCUUAGACUCAGAAGUUUAAACUGCUCCUAGACCCAAGGACUCCAGCUUCAUAGCCUGGGGCUCAUGUUACCCCAACCUUGUGUCCCCCUGCUAUGGCUGCUACACCCAGCCUCUGAUGGCGAUAUCUGUCAGAUCCUUCCUCAUUUGCAGACAUGGGCCUUUUCUCCCCACUACUUUGGGCCGGGCUGUAUGGGUGGUGAGGAGCUGCGAUGUCUCCACAAGUUUGAGAGGAGCCUGCACCAUCCAUUAAGGUUGUACACAUUCAUUUAUUUAUCCAGUCAAGGAGUGUUUGUUCUGAUCCCUCUGCAUGGGACAUAAUGCUGUGUGACGGAACAGAGUCUCUGGUCUCAUGCCUCUUACAGUCUGGGGGAAGAUGAACAGAUAGUGUGUGAGAGUCUUAGCUUAGUCAGAGAAGGGCAGCUUUGGAAACAAACAAUGAUUUCAAGGUCUUAAUCCUAUGGGCUCUCUGCACUCUCUCCAUUCAGCUAUCAACAGGAAAGGAGAGUGAGCACAUAGCAUCCCAUGGGAAUUCAAGGCCAGGCCUGAACCCUCCCCUUUUCAGCCCAAACUCAUGAGCUUAACCCUGCAGAUUCCAAAGAAGCCUGGGAAAUGUAGUCCAACUGUGUACCCAGGAAGAAAAGGCAAUGUGUUUGUCAAAGUCUGAAAGGAUGUGUCUCGGCGCAAUUGCUUCUGUGUUGGUGGUCAGCUGGGGGUGUCAUGCAGCCUCUCUGAAAGCUUAGUAAGAGAUGGGAGCCUCUGCAUUACUACACACUCCUGCCAGGAAGUGCUACCACACUGUAGGUCCCAAAGCCACGGAGCCACGGAGACAAAUGACCAUGGCCUGAACGCAGCAACAUGGCUCUGCUAACUCCAAAGGAUUCUGGGAAAUGUAGUUCCGCUGUAGGACCAAGAGGAACCUCUAGAGACCUUUUUUUCUUGGAACUCUGUUAUGUAGCCAGGACUUCUUGCCUAGGGAUGGCACCGCCCACAGUGGACUGGGACCUCCUACAUCAAUCAGCAGUUAAAGAAAACGCCUCACAGACGUGACCACAGGCCAGUGUGAUGGAGGUAACUCAGUUGAGAUUCAUUCUUC